rnacentral:lncRNA from 1 species
UAGUCAAUGCCGAAAGUUCAAGGCAUCAAGACAUGAAGAGGAAGAUCCAGUCCAAGCUAGAAGCAUUAGCUCACCCUGAAAUCCGGUGUAAUGAAGACUGGCUAGAGUUGCGGUUGAGUUGAAGAUGACGGCACGUUUGCUGCACUCCACAAAUAACAAAGAAAAACAAUUACAAGUAGGGGUCAGUACAACCACAAGUACUGAGUAGAUAUCAUCGGCCAACUCAAAAUAGAAAACAGUAUAUAUCAGAUAAUAUCAUAAAAUCAACUACAAUACUCAACAGGCGGCAUUUACAAUUACCAUAACCCUUGGUCACAACACCAAGCUCAUCAAUGAGGACUCACGCCUCCCCAUCAUACUCAUUUGGGAAAUAGGUUCAUUAAAUUGAGUAUAUUGACAUCUUUCAAGAUUCAUUAUCUUUAUUUCUCUUGUGUCGGUGCGUGACACUCCGCUCCCCUACUACUAUGUGUCAGAACGUGGCACUCCGAUCCCCUAAUUCUACGUGUCGGUUCGUGACACCCGAUCCCCUAAUACUACGUGUCGGUUCGUGACACCCGCUCCACUAAUCUCAUUCUAUUAAUUCAUCCAGCCUUCUUUUAUACCAAGGCAUCAUCAAUCUACCUCCACUAAUUCUCAUAAAAUUAGAGACCUCACGAGGUCUUAACUGGAGAACAAGUUUGGGAGAGGGUUCAAAGCUUUCCAAUUCCACUUUUCUUUCUACCCCUAAGAAAAAAGUUAACACUAGAACUAACUUAUUUUCAAAGAACUAGUUUGUUCAAAAAAUUUACCUGGAGUCAAAGGGUUGGGAACGUCGACCACUGUUGCUGCUGCACGACUCGGCGGAGAUGGAGGCGGCGCGACCUCCACCUGCUGAGGCCCGACUGCAAAUGGCGCGCAGAGAUGGAGCUGGCGGCGAAGAGAGGAGAUGGAGAAUGGAGAAGACGACGGAGGAGAUGGAGAAUGGAGAAGACGACGGCGGAGAUGAAGAUGAAGAAGAUGACGGCGGAGAGAGGAGAUGGAGAAUGCUGGUAGAGAGGAAUGAUGAGAGAGAGAGGGACGAUGACAGAGAGAGAGGGACGAUGAGAAAGAGAAAGGGAAGAAGGAGAUAGCUAUUUUUGGCUAGGGUUUUUUUUUUGUUUAAGAGAUCUCAUGAGAUCUCUCAUUUUUUAACUCUUUCAUUAAAUUAAAUUAUUAUUUUUAAUUUAGCAAGUACAGACCUCGUGAGGUCUCUAAUUUUAUGAGAAUUAGAUUAAAAAUUUAAAAAUUUGAAAUAAGUCAGGUAUAGGAAAAAAUAAAUUCAUUAAAUUGACCUCACGAGGUCUCUCCUAUAUUAAAAAAAAAUUAAAAGAUAUUAAUUCAAAUAGCGACCUCAUGAGGUCUCUUAUUAUAGACCUAUUUUUGAGGUCUCCUUUUCUAGGUCUCUUUUUGGCCUUUUUUUAGUAGUGAAAGAAACGUUACUUAUUUAAAAGUCUAGCAGUUUUUUGACACUAUCAAAUUUGAAUUGAAAUUUGCAAUGUAUGAAUGUAUCAACUUUCCAAUCAAGUUGUAAUGUGUCUGAAUUAGCUAGUUUUAUUAGUUAUAAAUAUUGCUUCUUUUGCUAUAAAGAGGAGUAUUGGUAGAGAUAAUAAUGAGAAAGUGAUAUUAUAUAGAAUUGGGUAAAAUAAAAUAAUGUGAUUGCCCCUUUUAAGAUAGACUUGAAUUUUUUGACACUAUUCAAAUUCGCAGUCCAAAAAAGGUCGACAAAAUUGCAUCUGAACUAUCUUAUAUUCUUUGUUAUACUUUUGAAUUAAAAAGACUCUUCAUUAUUAUUUUAAAAGAUCAUAAAUAUCAUCAAGAUUUAAUAAGAAUGAUUUAGCAAAUAACACGACACUAAUUUCGCCAUCUAUUGACUAGAUACCCACUAAAAUAAGGGUCUUUAAUUUGACCAAAUUUAUGACCCAACCCUAACCCGUUCAUACUAGACCCGACGCACAAAGAUUAAGAGGCAAAUAUCAUCUUUUUAUCAUAUUUUCACCAUUCGAUUUAAUGGAUUCUCAAUUUAGAAUGACUCUAUUUAUUCUUCUCACAAACACAUAUUGCUUAGAGGUGUCAAGUGAACGGGUUGAGUUGGAAUUGAUAAUGUUAAAAUGGGCUGAAGUAGAAAUUAGGUUGGGUCCUAACUUAGCCAAGUUUUCUUUCACUCAAAUGGACUUUAAAAUGGGCUAGGUCUUGACCCGCUCAAUUUGACAUGUUUAAUUUCAAUAAAUUUAAUAUAUAGUUAUUUAAGUUUUAAAUUUCAACUCAAGAUUUUCUUUAAAAAAAAAGAAGAAGUUACAAAUGAUAGAUAAAUCCUAGGAGAUAUAAAAUAGAUAGCAAUUUAUAUCUUCAAUAUUAGCACAUACAUUAAAAAAUCUUAAAACGAGUUAAAAUUUAAAAUUAAAUUAGGUUUAAUUGAACAUUCUCUUAAAAUUAGUUAAGUCUUGAAUGAGUUAAACUUAUACCAAAUUCAAAUUAUCUUGAAUUUAAUUUUUAAAAUUCUAAACGUAUUUGACAGAUUACUCGUAAUUGGUCUCAUUUUUGACAUCCCAACAAAACAAAUACUACUACAGAGCGAUAUCAAUGUCACGACCCAAAACGAGUCGUGAGUGACAACCAACACAUCUAAAACCCCAACAUAUACCAAUAGUUCAACUAUAAAUAAUAUCAAUAAUGCGGAAGCUCCAAAAGAUACUAAGCAACCAAUUUAAAUAAGUUUCUAAGGUUUAAUACUUAUCAUCCCAAAAUCUGAUAGUCAUCACAUCAAGGACAUCUAAUCUCCAAUACUAAGCCUAAGAAUAUCGAAUACACUAAAAUAAAGAAUAAAAUGGUAUGUGUCCGAAAGCAUAGGACAUCAUGUUAUGACCGAGAGAAUCCAACACGAGCUAGAAAUAAUAGCUCACCCUGAACUCUGAUGUGCUGGAGACUGGCUAGAGCUGAGGGCGAGUCGAAGUCGAUGGUACACUUGCUGCACUCCACAAAAUAACAAAGAAGAAAAUACAAGUAGAGGUCAGUACAAUGAACACGUACUGAGUAGGUAUCAUCGGCCAACUCAAAAUAGAAAUCAAUAUAUAUUGAAUAAUAAUAUAAAAUCAACUACAAUACUUAACAGGUGGCAAGCAACAAACACAUGAACCAUUGACAACAACACCAUAACAGGUACACCAUCAAUCAGCAAAUCAAACACACCUAUGAGGACUCAUGCCUCCACACCAUACUCAUUUGAAAGAUAGGUUCUUUGAGGUUGAGUAUAUUAAGUCACUUCAAGAUUCCCUUCCUUUAAUGUUAUUAUGUCGGAACGUGACACUCCGAUCCCAUAUACCGUGUCGAAACGUGACACUCCGAUCCCUUAAUAUCGUGUCGGAACGUGACACUCCGAUCCAAUUAUCUUAUAAUUUUAUUUCAUCAAGCCUUCUUUAUUCAAGGCGUACUUUUAAUAGAGAGGGUUCAAGAUUAGAAAUUCAACAGUCUCAUAAUUUUAGGCCAACCACAAACCACACAAUCAAAACAUACAGCCACACAAUCAAGUAAAUAGGAGACUUUACAAUAUCACUCAAUACAUAUCAAUCGCUAUUUAGAGUUUAUCUAUCAAAUAAAAUUAAACCAUAACCUACCUCCACCGAAGAACCGAAGUCAAGCAACUACUUCUCCAAUGCCUUUCCUUUUCUUAUUGCCUCCGAACCCUUCCAAUCUAUCAAGUAUAUAAUAUACAUAAGGUGUAAGUUAACAAGACCAUAAACACUCCGAUUAUUCUGUGUCUAGCCUAUACUCAUCAAUUCACCUAAUUCUAUAAUCAAUUUCCUAAAUUUUAAACUUAAGGUAAGUUCUAUUUCCUCUCAUUAGCAUAACUUUAAUGUAAUUCAUAUAAUAUACUACACCUUAUAUUUAAUUACCUAUCUCAAUAUAUCAAAAUAUAAUCUAUAAUAUAAUAACAACAUUAAAAUUUUUAAAAGUUAAAGCCACUGGUUAAGGUACCAGUGGCAGCGAACACUUCACAAUAUACCCACCCCUUUAUAUUCCAAUUCUUAAAAAUGAAAUUCAGUUAUUUUCUUGCAGCUUCAUCGAUCCAGCUUCUAACACAAGGCGAACCUACCUUGGAUUAUUUUCCAUUAACUUCACGUGAGAACAGGGAGGAAAUAUGUACCUACGAAUUCGCAUGAAAAUUGUAUCAAUUUUUUCUUUGUUCUAAAAUUUAAAUUGGCAGAACAUUUAAACCUUUACAUUGUCAUACCUUACACCUUCUUUUAAUUAAUCAUCACAAUAUAACAAUUUUUCCAAUCCCAACAUGCUGCUCCCUCUUCUCUAUUUUAUUAUUUUAUUUUACAAAACAAACAUUUCCAUCCAAUUUUAUAAUAUUAAUCAAAAGAGACCAAUAAUUAAUCUACAGAAAUCUAACUCCUUAGAUUCAAAACAGAACUCCCGUUCUUCCCUUUCUAAUUAACAAUAUAUUAGGCUGCUAGUAAUAUUACUCUCUAUUAGAAAUCACCAUUACAUGUAACAAAAGAAUAAAAAUUUCAAGAACCUUAAUUCAUAACACACUAAAGUCAAUUUUCUUUUAUGUAACAUGUAACUGCUGCUAAAAUGUUGCAGGCAGCAACAUCAUACAGCCGCCACGUAGUCACAAUUUGCCCAUAUCCCCCUUUUCCCAUUUAAUUAGUAUAAUAUUCUAUCAUGGCUAAAAUAUCAACAUAUAUCCCUAUCAUCAAUACAUAUGUAUAGCGCAAUAUUAAGCUGGUCGAGUUUUACCUGAAGGCCCACUUUACGAUCUUCUUCGCAAUCCUUCUGCCCCUCUCUGAUUUUCUUACUUUCCUCCAGAGAUAAAUUAUACCUAAUUUCUAUAUAGGACUAAUUAUAUAAAUAAUGAAAAGUGUCCAUCACUAAUUGUUAAGUUAUUUUCUUUAACUAUCAAUUAAAUAAAUUAUUAAAAUUAUCCCACUAAUUUCAUAAUUAUAAUUAUGAAUAGUCCAAAAUACCAAUUUAAAAUUUAGCGAAAAGUAUUUAUCAAAAAUAAUUCUACUACUCAAAUCAAAUCGACUAAAUGAGUUGUUACAAUCAAUAAGUUUUAUUAUGUCUUUUUCAAAGGAAACAAACUCCUAAAUCAAGUGCAAAAGCCAAGUUGGUGGGGUCUACUGAAUUGAAUGCUGAAAUCAGAUGAAAAGAUGAUGUUUGCCCCUUAAUUUUAAGAGCAACUUUCACAUAUAUAGCAAAUAAAAAAUUUAUAUUUGUAUGCUAUAGUUUUUUGCAUAAUUGCGCUCUAUAGCAAACAUAGAAAUUGUAUAAUUCGCUAUACAUAUACAGUUGAAGCAAAUUAUAUAAAACAAAGUGUAUAAAACAUGAAAGAGAAAGACACUUGGGUAGAAAACUGUAUAAAAUGAAGUGUAUAAAACAAAUUGUAUUAUUAUAUGUGUAUAGAAUGAUUAUAUACAAUUUGAAUUUAUAUAAAAUGAGAAAGCGAGAAAGACAAAAGAGACUUGACAAGGAAUAUACAAUUAAUCGAACUGUAUAAAACGAGAAAGAGAGAAAUUAGAUACAAUUUGAAAAUUGUAUAAAACGAGAAAGAGAUAAAGACAAAAGAAACUAGGCAGGGAAGUAUUUUUAUUGUACUAUUAUAAGUGUCUAGGACGAGAAUAUAUGUACUAGCAUGUGUAUGUACAAUUUUCUCACGCUUUAUACAAAGAGAAACACAAUGUAAACAUUUCGCUUCUGUUUGUAUAAGUGAGAAAGACGAUGGUGGUGAGUGAGAUUUAGGAGAGUGGCGAGUGAGAUCUGAAAGAGGGGAGAGAGGGAACAAAAAUAUGUGUAUUUAUACAAUUUUCUCUGCUUUAUACAAUUAGAAACAAUUUUUAUACACUUGUGUUUGUAUAAAAAGUGAGGAAGCGAGCGAGAGAUUUGAAGGAGAGUGGCGAGCGAGAUAUUUGGGAGAGAGGCGUCUGUCAAUAUUUUGCAAUCGUUUGCUAUGGAGCACAAUUAAAUUAAACACUAGCUACUCCAUUUAUUUUAGAUUAUUAAUUUGCUAUUAUAUAUAAUUUUCCCAAAUUUUAUUGGGUCUGGUCUAAUAAGAAUAGGUUAGAGUUUGAAUUAUAAAUUGGGUCAAAUUAAUGAUUUAUAUUUUAGUGGAUAUCCUAAUUGGCAAGUUUAGGUGACGAAAAGUGUUACGUGAUUUGUCAUAUCACUGUUGUUAAUUCUCGAAAGUAUUUGUAGUCUUUUAGUAUAACAAUUGUGGUAUUUCUUAUUUUUUAAUGUAUUAGAGGAUAUAAAUGGCCUAUUUUGCACAGGAGUGGUUUAAGUGUAUUAGUGGCCUAAAAUCAAAAUCAAAUGGGGCCUUAAACUUAAAUAGUUAAUAACUUUUAUAUAAUUUAUUUCUUCAAGUUUUCAUCUCAUAGUAUAACGAUUCUUAAUUUAAAUUAUUUUUCAUAAGAUAUUGUGCUCAAAAUAUGUCAAAUUUCUUCUAAUAAAAAAUCAUUUUUCAUGAAAUAUUUACUUUUUCUACAAAUAAUAUUCAAUAUUUAUUUAAAAAAAAUAACUUAUAGCCUAUUAUUAAUUUAUUAUAAAAAGUAAGGCCCCUUAAAUUUGGGGACCUAAGCACAUGUCUUUUUUUUUUAACACAGCCACCUGCUUACAAAUAAUUGGGAGCAAUUAUUUUUGAUUGGUUACAAUUAUGACUUCUUUGCUAUAAAUAGGGGUGUUGGUUGAGUAAUAUUGUAUAAUAAGUUGUGUGAAAUAAUAAAGGUGUGUUACUCUCUUGUUCUUUUGAAAAACAAGUCAAUUACAUAUAAUUUGGUUGGAGGAGAAAUAAUGGAGCUGUACAAGACCCUUAGGACUACUAUCAAAUAAUGAUGCUGAAUUUAUGAAGAUUAAGCUCGAGUAUGAGAAACAGAAUGAGCAUGUUACAUGUUGAAGGCCUUUCUUAAUGCACUCACCAAAGCCCAUUAUUCUCAUCUUUUAAAUAAAGAAAAUUCGUAGCCCUCAUACUAUUUCUAUAUAUAUAUAUAUAUAUAUAAAUACAAACUUCAUAUAUUGAUGGAUUUAAAAAUAAUUUAUUGGGUAAAUUAUUUUUAUCUUAUUUAAUAUGCGGUCAUUGUAAUAAUUAAGAAAUUAAAUAUUAUCUAAGUUGAUUGUUGCAUCCUUUAUAUUCCGAUGAUUAUCAAGAAUCAUAUUAGUUUUCAUAUAUUUAUCUUUUUAUCUCCUUUUCUAUGGUAAUUAUUUUCUCGUUACUGAAUAUUCUAAAGUCUUACAAAUGAUCAAACCAUUUUUAUUAUGCAAAAUUUAUUAUUGUGUGAUUAAUUAGUAGUAGGAUUUUCAAUUAACAAAAUUAAAAUAUAAUGAGUAAAUACACGUAGAAGUCAAAUGAAGCUCAACAUCUACUCUAUAUAUAAAAAUAAUUUUAUCCACACAUAAAUAAUAUAAUUUUAUACCGAAUAAAAAUUUAAAUGAACUCCCUCGAAUUUACAUGGCGCCAUUUGAUAAUACAAAAAAUUUAAAAAAUAAGAGAAGAUUUUAUUACCGAUCAAGUAGUCCUUAUUAAAGUUACUUUUGUGUUUACUUUUUAUUGACUUCUUCACAAUACCUACUAUAAAAAUAAAAUUGGAUUGAUAUCAUUAAAUAGAUGUCAAACACUCCUUCUAUUUUAUAUUAAUUGAAUUUAUGAGACAAUGCUUAUCCAUUAAGAAAAAUAUUCAAAGACAUUUUGAUAACUAAAGCCCAAGAAACACAAUCCCUCCUCGACAUUUUGCUCAAACUCCCACAUUUCCCUUACAUAUCAAUCACUGUACCAUGUAAUUGCUUGCCCAAUUCAACCCCACCAUAACCACAACAAAUCUUCAAGACCACCGGAAACAAGAAAAAUUCCAACUCCACAAACCGCACCUGCCUAAAACUUCUUCAAAAAGCUCAUUACUCAAAUAAACAUUAAUAAUAGCGUUCCACGAAUACAAAUUUCUGUCACGCAUUUUCUCAAACAGUUGAACUGCAUCAUCAAAACAAUCACAUUUCCUGUACAUCUCAAGCAACUUAGUCUCAACAAACUCGUAGUGCUUCUGCGUGGACUUGUUUACCUAGGUUGGGGCAUUUGCAGGAAUCAAGAACUGAAGCAUAGGUGCUUCAACUUAUAAAGUCAUCCAAUUGAGAGAAAUAUAGGUGGGUUAAAUGAUAAAUGGGUCGGGUUUAAUUUGGUUAAUCUAAUUAAAUAGGGUUAUUUUUGUUUGAUUUAGGAUUUUCCAUUCAAUUGAGGUCUAUGUGAAAAGUUUGUAGACGACAAGGAUAAAAAUAAUUUCAUUUUAACAGCAAUGGUAUAUUUAACUAAUAAAAUAAAGUCGAGAGAUAUUUUUAACUCUUUUCCCUAUCUUAAAUUUUGAAUAAUUCAGCUGAGAAACACAAAAAAAAUUCAAAUCUUGAUGCUUACAAGUGGCUCAGAUAUAUGAUAAGUAGCUCAAAUACAUUAAAUAAUGGCUCAGAUACAUUAGUAUGUAGCCCCAAUACAUUAAAAAUUAACCCAAAUACAUAAUAUGUAGCUCGUAUACAUUAAAUACUGGCUCGACAACAUUCAAUAUUUUUUUAAAAGCCCAUGAUAUGUUACGAACAAACCUUAAUAUUUCACAAACUUUAUUUUGAGGCUUCACAUCCAAUGUUUAUUAAAUUUUGAGAGAAGGUUACAAACCAAUUUUUCAUUAAUAAGAUAUGAAGGGAACAAAUUAGCAAGUUGAAGAAGAAAGCAAAAACAACACUAAUAUACAUUUCUUUUCUCUAGUAGCUUGUCACGUUGUUAUGCAUUUCCCCAUUCUCUACAGUUCUACUUAACCCUUUGAUAUCAUUGAUGAGACAGUCGAGGUUACUAUACGAUAAACCUCCUUCUUCAACACUUAAUUUUGCAAGUUCUGAUAAUUUCUCAACUGAUUUCGUGUACUCAUCCUUUUUUGUUUCCAUAAGAUCUUUUACCAGUUUCUCUACGACGAAUCUAUCACAAAUAUCUUUCAUGUCUAACCCUAUCUUCCAAAAUUCAUUUACUAGUCUACUUGUAACUCUUUGGUCCACAUAUUGAGGCCAACAUAUCAUGGGCUUUCCCUCGAUGAUACUUUCCAGUGUCGAGUUCCAUCCACUAUGGGUUAAAAACCCACCAACCGAUGGAUGGGCUAGUACCAUCUCCUGUGGAGCCCAACUCACAAUGUAACCAAUUCCUUUGCAACCCUCAACAAGUUCCUUCAUAAAUUGAUCAUGUGAUGCAUCUCCCUUCAACAUGUUAGGCCUCAUUACCCACAAAAAUUUAACUUUACUAUUCAUUAGUCCAUGCCAAAAUUCCAUGAUCUCAUCUCUUGAAACAACAACAAGGCUUCCAAAACUUACAUAGAUUACAGAUCCCUUGGAUUGCGCAUCGAGCCAUUUAAUGGAAGUAUGGUCUUCUUCCCACAUGCUAUUUGAGGAUGACAAUAGUGGAGUAGCUUUAGCAGCAAGUCUAGUCUUCAAGUUCAAUGGCAAUGGUCCAAUUGCAUAUGUUUUAGGAAAGUAAGAACGAAUAUUAUAAAGAAAAGGCCCAUCUAACUCUUCAAACGAAUUUAAUAUGAGUCCAUGGGCUUUUGGGAUACGCUCAAUUUCCUUAAAAACAGCUUGAGAAUUUUGAUCGAUUUUAUAAUCUAAAAGACAAAAGUGUGGAAGAUCUCGUCGUCUAAGAAAACCUUCCAUGGCUGGUACAUGUGUUACCAAUGCAUCGAUGUCAUUUCCUACAACGAUAAAUAUGAAGUUAAAUUUAUAGUUGUGGUGUUCCAAAUUUCUAUUCCACUCUAUUUUUUCAAAGUUUGAUAAGGUUGUGCACAAUUUUAAAGAAAAAAUUAAUUAAAAAAUAUAUUUUAAUUAAUUUUUAAAUUUUAAUCUACUAACAUCCUCUUAAUUCCAGAAUAAUUAUCGAUAAAAAUAAAAGUUCAGAAAAUAAUUAUUUUUCUCGACAUCUAAAAAGGAGCAUGGAGUAUUUCUGAUUUUUCCUUUCUAAAAAGGAGCAUGGAGUAUUUUGUCGAUAUCUAAAAUAAUGCCCCUACUUGGGCGCAUGCCAAACUGGGGAAGGUGGAAAGCUAAAUUAAUAAAGAAAUCAUCAUUAUUCCUCUGCUUAUUAUUUUGAAGAACGAACGUGAGUUAGUUCCGUUCAAUAAUAGUUGUUCACUAUUCACGUGGUAUAUCCUUAAAAAUAAAAAUAGAAGUGUAAAUUUUAUUAUAGUAUGUUUUAAAUAUAAUAAAUUAGUGUCUUGAAAAUGUAAAAGAGAAAUGACUAUAAUUAAUGAUAAGAAUAAAUUAUUAAAUAAGUGUAAAAUUAUUUAUGAAUUUCAUAAAGUGAACAAAUAUUGUUAGACAUUUUUUUUUAAUAGGUGGAAUGACCUGAUACACCCUCGUACUUGGCUUCGUUUGUAAGUUGGACCAUUGUAUUUCUGAUUUUGCCAAUUGAACCCUUAAACUCAUUCAAACACAAUAUUUCAAACCUCUUUCUUAUCAUUUGUGUGUCAGUGUAAUACACUCAAUUUACACAUGAAAUUCUACGUUAUUUUUUAAUGACCCAUCAGUAUCAUUAUUAUUUUUUAAUGACACAUCAGAAAUUAAAUAUUUAAAAAUAAAUAAUAUUUUUUAAAAAGGUGCAAUUUUUUCUCUUUCUAUACUCAUUUCCCAUAUUCUCACUUCAUCUUCUUCCUCCCCACCCUCUACCCUUCACCCCAAAGAAUAAAAAUCACCAUUUUCGUCUUCCUCACACAAAAUUUUUCUUAUUGACAAAAUGCGAAAGAUUAUAGUUAGCUCUUACACAUACUUUCAGUUCUAUUUUAUUUAUAUUUGAUAAAAAAAUAUAUCAAGAAAUCUUCAAAUUGAAAAAAAUAUAUGUUUAUAAGUAAAUUCAAGCAAUAGAUCUUGAAAAAUUAAGUUUUAAAAUGGUGAAUGAGAUGUAUUUUAACAAAAGUUUUUUAUUAUAAGUAUGUUAAUGGUGUAGAUAUCAAAAGAGAAGAAAAGAAAAUGGAUAAGGGCAGGGGGGGAUCUCGGGCUGAAAAAGAAGAGGAAAAAGGUGGGACUGUAAGAAGAGAGAAGGGAUUGUGGUGGCGAUAGAUUGAUUGGGUUGAAGAAGUAGUUUUUGAUUAUUUUUUGUAAAAGUGAUGCAGGGAAGAAGAUAGAUUCUUUUCUUCUUUUUUUUUAAAGUUUUUUUAUUAUAUGAAUUUAAUAAUUUAAAAUUUAAAAAAUGAUGCUCACUCGCCUUAAAUGCGUGUUGUCACACUCUCUUGCCAAGUCAGCUAUUAUAAUGUCACAUAAGCAUGGUCAAUAGUCAGAGGGAUUUAAUAUAUUGUGUUUUAUUUAGUUUAGUCUAUCAGACUAUUACACCUUUUUAAUAUAGUAGACAAAUAUUAUUAAACGAAGAAAGUAUAUUUUUUAAUUUUUUACGUUAUUAUUUCUUAAAAAUAAAAUAAGAAGAAUAAUGUUAUUUAUGUAUUAGUUAAGAAACACAUAUUUUAAACAAGUACAAGAUGUAAAUAGAAAGAGAGAAAAUACAAUCAAGGCAUUGUCAAUAAGGAGACAAAAUGAUUUAAAAAUACCUUUGAAGGGAAGAACUCCAGCCUCAAUUAGUUUGGGGAGAGAAAGAUAAAUCCAAAAGCAGGAAGGACUAAUAGUGUCAAAUAUAACAACUGGAACUCCCAUCUCAUUUCCAAUAUCCACACCAUAAUAAAACAGUCCAUCAAGUAUAACACAUGUGAUCGGCUCCUUAACAAGGCCACUAAGCAUUUGUUUAAGAUAAGGCUCAGCCAUGGUCUGCAAGGAGCUGAUAAUGUCUCCGAAUUGUUCGCCUGAUCGCGGGUUGUCCUCAGGGAGGCCAUCGGAUAUCGUAAGGAAUUGGAAUCCAGUAUAUUGUUUGAAACGAGAUUCGACAUUUGAGUUAGCAACGAGACGUUGUUGAUUGUGAUUUGUGUUGAGAAAACUGACUCUAAGCCCAGCAAGACAUAAGAGCUCAGCUAAUUGUAGAUUGGAGUUUAUUGUGCUUUGUAAAGGGAGAGGAAAGAUGAGAACAUGAGGAGUAAUGGAUGUCUCUGCCAUGCCUAUUGUGAGAGUAGGUGAAAUUAAUUUCCCUUUCCCACCUUCUUUCUCCUCAUUAUAUAUAUAUAUAUUUUGGUAAAUACUACUCUCUUGAUAGGGACUUAAAAGAAAUUUCAAUUAACUCACACAAUACUAUUUUCUUUUUAAAUAAAGAGGGUCAUAUAUAUAUUUCUUAAAUGAAGAGACCUUAUUUAAUUUUUUUGUGGAGCUCAUUCCAGCUUGUGUGAACAAAUAAAACAAUCUAUUAAUAUCGAGAUUUGAUCCAUAUUAGCAAUUUUUUAAAUUAGCAUUUUCGAGAAAUUAGAGCCAUAUAAAGUAGGGAAGUAUCUCAAAUCAGGGAGUCAAUUCCCUUAUUGAUAUUACCUUAAAAUAUUAUUAUAUAUGUUUUAUUUAGGACCAAAAUAUCACUCAAUUAUUAUUAUUUUUAUUCAAAAUAUACCUAACACUCUAAAAGUUUCACUCUCUCCUAGUUGACAUGAUAUGACAUUAAAUUCUUUUUUUUUAAAAAAAUUAGGUUAAUUUAUUUCAUUAAACUCAUUUAACUAAAAUAAUGUGUCACGACCCAAAUCGGGGCCGCGACUGGCACCCACACUUUCCCUCCUAUGUGAGCGAACCAACCAAUCUAAACCUUAACAUUUCAAUAUAAUAUCAACAGAAAGUAAUGCGGAAGACUUAAACUCAUUUAAUAAAACCAAUUCAUUAACUAUUAUUCCCCAAAAUCUGGAAGUCAUCAUCACAAGAACAUCUAUGAUCAAAGUACUAAACUAAGAGUAUUCUAAAAGCUAAAACAAGUAAAAGCUAGUCCAUGCCGGAACUUCAAGGCAUCAAGACAUGAAGAAGUAGAUCCAGUCCAAGCUAGAAACAUUAGCUCACCCUGAAGAUUCGAUGUAGUGAAGACUGGCUAGAGUUGCGAUUGAGUUGAAGACGAUGGCACGUUUGCUGCACUCCACAAAUAACAAAGAAGAAAACAUAAAAGUAGGGGGUCAGUACAAACACAAGUACUGAGUAGGUAUCAUCGGCCCACUCAAAAUAGAAAACAGUAUAUAUCAAAUAAUAUCAUAAAAUCAACUAAUAUCCUUAGCAUGCAGCAUUUACAAUUACCAUAACCCUUGGUUACAACACCAAGCUCAUCAAUGAGGACUCACACCUCCUCAUCAUACUCAUUUGGGAAUCAGGUUCAUUAGAUUGAAUAUAUUAACAUCUUUCAAGAUUCGUUAUCUUUAUUC